GAUUUUCCUACCUGCUUAUACUUGGUAACCGAGGGAAUUACUAAGACUUCUUGCUCAUUUCUGAGUAUUGUCUUUAUAUCCUGACACUAUGAAUGCUACUUGGAUGCCUCUUAAGGGUCUCUUCUGCAGGGUCCCCAUGAAUUGUGGCUGAAGUUGUGCACAAACAAGUAUCUCCAGUGACAGGAGUGCCUUCUGAGGCAGCCCAUUGCAUCUUCAUCUGCUGACACUCUGCUAGGCUGACUUCUGUAGUUUUCACCACUGAUCUUCAGUCCACCUCACAGAGCUCUAUAAAACGCUUGAAUCCUCUUUACAUCAUAGACUUUCAGCUACUUGAAGAUAGCCAUCAGCCGCUACGUGACUCUUUGCUCCAGGUAAAAUCUCCAGUUAUAGCAGCUGUUCUUCAUAUG
rnacentral:lncRNA from 1 species